UGGGGAAUUUUGGACAAUGGGCGAAAGCCUGAUCCAGCAAUGCCGCGUGUGUGAAGAAGGCCUUCGGGUUGUAAAGCACUUUUGUCCGGAAAGAAAUCCUUGGCUCUAAUACAGUCGGGGGAUGACGGUACCGGAAGAAUAAGCACCGGCUAACUACGUGCCAGCAGCCGCGGUAAUACGUAGGGUGCAAGCGUUAAUCGGAAUUACUGGGCGUAAAGCGUGCGCAGGCGGUUUGCUAAGACCGAUGUGAAAUCCCCGGGCUCAACCUGGGAACUGCAUUGGUGACUGGCAGGCUAGAGUAUGGCAGAGGGGGGUAGAAUUCCACGUGUAGCAGUGAAAUGCGUAGAGAUGUGGAGGAAUACCGAUGGCGAAGGCAGCCCCCUGGGCCAAUACUGACGCUCAUGCACGAAAGCGUGGGGAGCAAACAGGAUUAGAUACCCUGGUAGUCCACGCCCUAAACGAUGUCAACUAGUUGUGGGGAUUCAUUUCUUAGUAACGUAGCUAACGCGUGAAGUUGACCGCCUGGGGAGUACGGUCGCAAGAUUAAAACUCAAAUGAAUUGACGGGGUCAUAGCUGUUU
rnacentral:rRNA from 1 species